GUGGCCCGGGAGCAGCAGCCCCACAGGAGCCGCAGGAGCGCAUUGUACCCAGGAACCAUCUGGAUUUGCCUGUGUGCAGAGUGGAGGCCUGGUGCCUGCACCCUCUCCUUCCCUCCGACGGCAGGAGGUCUCGGGAGGUGAGAACACCAGCUCUUGGCACGGUCCAGAUACACAGUGCAGGCUGCAGAGCACCCUCUUCCGCUUCGCAGGCCUCACCCCGCUCACCCCGAGCAUCUGUUCCCAGCUCUUAGCUCUGUCUUGGCUGUAGCGGAUGGUUCCUGACUGCGGAUCUGUGACCAGCUGUCUUGGCAUCCUUGCGAGCAUAUGAGGAAGCGAAUGUUGCUGGAUCAUAGAGUUCCGUUUUUAAGUUUUGAGGAAGCCCUGGGCUGUUUUCCACGAUGGCUGCUCAUUUGCAUUCUCACCAGCACUUCAGGGCAACCUUCCCCUCAUCCUCCACCACAGAUCCUCUGUGGGCUGCCUUCCCAUUCUGAUGGCCGCCCUUCUGAGAGAGAAGAGCGUCUCCCCGCUGCUUUCAUUUGGAUUUCCACGGUGACUUAUGAAGAUGAGCUUUGUGUUCAAGUGUCUGAGCCCAUUCUUGUCUUGUUCUGAGACAUGUCUGCUCGAGACUUUGCCGGCUUUAAGAUCAGAUUGUCCUCCUGCUCUUGAGUUGGGUUUGGUCUUUAUAUUUCCUGGAUAGCGGCCAUCUGACAGAUGUGUGUCUUAUGAAUCAAUCCAGCUGCGUGAACUCUCUCCAUUCUGUUGAUUGCUGGCUCUGUCACCUUCUGAUUCGAUGCAUCCUUACAUCUUCCUUGCAGUUGUUCUAUGUCUUUUCAGGACCACGUUUUAAAACCAUCAAUGCACAGGACGAUGCCAGGGAACUCUCUCCCCUUUUCUCCUAACACAUCUACAGUCCCACUUUCAUAGCUCUUAACCGGUUGUGUGAAAUUCUACUCUUUAUUGUUAUUUUAUGUG